ensembl:snoRNA SNORD62 Small nucleolar RNA SNORD62
UCUUGAUGAUGCACUUCCAAUAGAUCCUUCUGACCCUCCACUGUGGACUCUCCAUUCCACAAGG